AGUGAGUAAGAUUUACACGGCGGGGGGAGGACCAGAAGAAUCCUUGGUAUCAGAGAGAACGGGGGAUGUGCCCUCUUUACUGUGCUGCCAGAGAAGUCUAGAGUGUGACUAAUGGAAGUCUCACUAGUGGACAGACAGUAUAUGAGCCUCUCACAUUUGGAAAUGAUUCCAAGUGACCUUGGAUGACCAUGAGGCUGCCUUCUCAUUCUUACUAUGAAGAUGGUGCCUGGCCCGAGAGGUCUUAAACUUCCAGUGUGGAUGGCUAGUCCUCACUUCUUUAUCCAGGCAACACACAGCACGGAUGGACAGAAAACCAAACACCUUUGCCAAGAACAAUUACUGAGGGUGUGAAACGAUGAAGACAUAGAGAAUACUGCUGCAUAGAAAUGUUCACAGUUCUUCAAUUUCCAAAAGGAAUUCAGAGGGAGAACUUGGAUUAAUGUAAAUAAUGUGAUUUUUUUGAAAUACAAAUGAAUAUUGAUUGAGAGGGUUGAAAUGGGACAAGAGAGUGAAGACCAGCCAAACCCAAACACCUACAGAGAGCACACAGAUAUGAAUGUUAGGGGCCCUUUCUGAGGUCUCUCUCUUUGGAGUGUAGAUACAGCUGAUACAUAACCAUCAGGAGCUCAGGUGGGAUCCACAGUCAUAGGACACCCAAGAGGAAAGAGCAAAAUCAAACAUAAAGGCUCCCAUCUUAUGAACAAGAGGCUUUUGCAACCUUCACUAAUUUGUAGGGAGAAAUACAAAUGCAAUCUAAACAUGAUUAAAUAUCCAAGGUGAUCACCAAAUUGAAAAU
rnacentral:lncRNA from 1 species